rnacentral:rRNA from 1 species
GCCAGCGGCGAUAGCACGUUGAAUGCAGUUCCCCCCCUGUAUCGAUGAUGUUAAGCGGCGAUGUGUGUGGUUAGUAACCGGAUGGGUGACCAUCUAGGCAGUCGUGUGUUGCUGGCU